UACGUAGGGGGCAAGCGUUGUCCGGAUUUACUGGGCGUAAAGAGCGUGUAGGCGGCCAAGCAGGUCCGUUGUGAAAACUGGAGGCUUAACCUCCAGACGUCGACGGAAACCGCGUGGCUAGAGUCCGGAAGAGGAGAGUGGAAUUCUUGGUGUAGCGGUGAAAUGCGCAGAUAUCAGGAAGAACACCCGUGGCGAAAGCGGCUCUCUGGAACGGUACUGACGCUUAGACGCGAAAGCGUGGGGAGCGAACAGG
rnacentral:rRNA from 1 species